rnacentral:SRP_RNA from 1 species
GCUGGGCGCCGUGGCGGGCGCCUGUAAUCCCAGCUACUCAGGAGGCUGAGGCAGGAGAAUUGCUUGAACCUGGGAGGUGGAGGUUGCAGUGAGCUGAGAUCCCGCCACUGCACUCCAGCCCGGGUGACAGAGUAAGACUGUCUCAA